AGCGGCGGCGGGUCCCUCUGCGGGCAGCGGGGCCGGCCUCUCCCUCGGUCCCGCUCCGUCCCGGCUGGGUGACGGGAGGGUCUCUGGUACCCUCGGGCGGGGGAGGCCGCAACCGCCCGGGGGUUGGGGAGAUGCUUUCGCUCCCUCGAGCGGGGAGGCUUGGGCCGACGGGGAGGCCUCGGGCGCGGGAAGCCGGUACCGGCCGAGGUGGGCCCCUUCUGGGCAGGGCUCCUGCCGCACUGACCGCGGGCUGCUCUCCCCAGGUCCUCCUUCCCGCGCCAUGUUGCAGCGAAGCUUCUUGAGGGCGGUGGCGGCCGGUUCCUCUUCGCUUCUUCUCCCCCGUCGCUGAACGAGGGAAAGCUGCGGCGUGAGGACAUGGCUGCGGACCGGCAGGACACCCCCCCCUUGCUGUGCAGGAGGAGGAGGAAGGUGUGAGUGGAGCCUGGCAGAAGACAAAGGGUGAAGUGAAAAAAGAUUCUGUGCCUUGAAAAAUCAAGGAGAAGGCCGUGUGACAUGGCAGACCCAGGAGGUCUUCUCAAAGACCUGAGUUACUUUUGAGAACAGGACUGAGUUCUGGAACUUGCUUCAAAUAUUGAAGAUCGUGCCUUGAGUUUUAGAAUUUCUAGCAAACCUGGCUACAGCAAAAUAAAUGGUUGGCAGUGUCUGCAUUUGAAGAUUCCUGAAACUUCAUCUUUUCUCACACAUGGGUUCAAGCACACUACAGCCAAAGUGCAUGCGAUGCAGCUUGUGGUUCUGAAUGUUUGCUGUAACCUGUGUACUCAACUGUCUGUCUAAAAAAAAUUACAGCUGUUCUGCUCCAAGUGUCCCUUCUGCUUUUGCUGUACUCCUGUUGAAUAGUCGUAGGAGUUGCAAUCUUGCCUUUCUCCCAGUCAUCUCGGCUCAUGUUCUAAAAGCACUGUUGUUUCAGUCUGUGUUUUCUCUACAUGGUUAAGAAGAAUUUUUAAAAAAAACCCCAAAAAACUAAAUAAAGAUGCCACCUACAAUAAGUCUGAAAUAAUUAUGCUUGUGUAUUUGUAGCACCACAAGUAGUAUUAAUUUUUAACCAUUUUAGGAUUUAAGACUUAUUUGUGGAUAUGAGAGCUAGGAUGGUUUUUUUUACUUUAAACAAUGAAAGGUAGAAGUCUUGCUGCUUACCUCCAUCCCCUUGUGGCAUAAAUCUGUGCUGCUAAAGCAGCAUCUGGUGAGAUCAGGUUGUCAGUCUUUCAGUGUUCUGGCUUUUCCUCUUUUUCCAGCUAAUGUGGGAAAUCUGGAGACAGCAUGAGUGUAAAAUAGCUUUGCCUUUAGUCAUUUUUCUCCCAUAUUGCAGUGUAGCUUGUAAACCAUAAGCACGUGUCUGAAAACACUUGUGCUUUUUAUUAGUGAUGAACAAAACUUGGUGUUCUUGGGGUGUGUGAGUCGUAAGUUAUGCCUGGAGUGUCCACUCCUGUUGCUGGGGUGUACAGAUUAAUAACGUAAUGUGACAGUUCUUGUCAGAAGUGUCUUUAUUUGAAUAAAGCUGCCUUGGCUAGUUCUUUAAAGUA